AGAAGACCUAUGUAAAGCAUCUGACCUGGUAGACAAUAGCCUUGGAUACUCUGGAAAGAUAAGCACACCUGAAGAAUCACAUACAGAGGCUCUAUGUAGUGUUUAUCUCUUCCCCUUGCCAAUAAAGAAUGACUGAACGUGCUUACAAGUUCAGAGCCACCAAACUAACUCCAUAAUUUGCGUUUAUGUCCAUUUGGGAAUAAGAAUGCUGUGUUCAUGUCUAAUGAAAUGUAUAGGUAAUUUAUAGCUAUCGACAUCACAAGAUGAUAAGCAAUAAUACCAGAGGAGCCGAAGUCUCUCAGAGUGGGGAAGAGCUGUAUGAACAGAGGUGGAUUCCUAAACUGAACACUACYCCCAGUAGACUACAAAGCAGUUAUGAGGAAGAGAAUCAUGGUUCUUCUGCCCAUGAGCACAUGUGUUUGCUUGCUAGUUGAUGCACAGAAGAAUAUAUUGAUGGGAUCCCACAAGGUCAGUAGA
rnacentral:lncRNA from 1 species